UACGUAGGGGGCAAGCGUUGUCCGGAAUUAUUGGGCGUAAAGGGCGCGUAGGCGGCUUGGCAAGUGGAUGGUGAAAUCCCUCGGCUUAACCGAGGAACUGCCGUCCAAACUGCUUCGCUUGAGACCGAGAGAGGUGAGUGGAAUUCCCAGUGUAGCGGUGAAAUGCGUAGAUAUUGGGAGGAACACCAGUGGCGAAGGCGGCUCACUGGACCGGUACUGACGCUGAUGCGCGAAAGCGUGGGGAGCAAACGGG
rnacentral:rRNA from 1 species